rnacentral:rRNA from 1 species
CGAAUCCUGACACAGGGAGGUAGUGACAAGAAAUAACAAUACAGGGCUCUCUGAGUCUUGUAAUUGGAAUGAGUACAAUUUACAUCUCUUCACGAGGAUCAAUUGGAGGGCAAGUCUGGUGCCAGCAGCCGCGGUAAUUCCAGCUCCAAUAGCGUAUAUUAAAGUUGUUGCAGUUAAAACGCUCGUAGUCGGAUUUCGGGGCGGGGCCGCCGGUCUGCCGAUAGGUAUGCACUGGCGGGCGCGUCCUUUUUCCCGGAGACGGCUGCUACUCUUAACUGAGCGGUGGUCGGAGACGGGAUGUUUACUUUGAAAAAAUCAGAGUGUUUCAAGCAGGCAGUCGCUCUUGCAUGGAUUAGCAUGGGAUAAUGAAAUAGGACUCUGGUGCUAUUUUGUUGGUUUCGAGCACCGGAGUAAUGAUUAACAGGGACAGUCAGG